AGCUAUCCCUUGCGCGGUGGGACCGCAUGAACCGGGUCAGGCGGAAACGAGCAGCCCUAAGUGUCGUGUUACCAGGUGCGUGAGGGGUAGCUUUC
rnacentral:SRP_RNA from 1 species